AGUAUUCCUAUUCUUCUCUUUUAUUUAAAGAGCAAUUUUCCUAUCAUUCUCUUUUAUUUAAAAAGCAAGUUCCCAGUUUAUUCUAUUUAUUCAAGGAUGAUUUUGAGACUUUUUGGAAUUCUUUAUUGGUAAAUAUAUUUCUUGGUUUACUUUGUCCUAGUGGCAAUUGGUUAUUUUGUGCAAUAUUCUCUUGAUAUUAUAUCUUUUAAGAAUGUUGAGCAUAGCCAACUAUAUAUGAUUUCAACUUGGUUAACAGUAAAUUGUGGUAUACAGAGGGGUACUCUGCAGGUUUUGAUUUAAAGAGGUUGGAUACCUUUUGAGUUUGGUAACAUGAAAAAGGUGUUAAAAGACUUUUAUUAUAGAAGUAUUAUUUAUAAACUGUUAACCAAUCGGAAUUCAUUUGCUAGACCGUGGUGCCGGUCGUGAGUUACAUGUUACAUUAUUUAAGGCCAAUAUGUGCCUUGGGCCCCUUUGUUUUUGGGACAGGUAGCGCCUUGUGCCCGGUGCUUGAUGCUCGGCUGAUCACCGUGUCAGCACAACGCGCCGUAAGCGAAUGAUUUUUCACAGAAUAGUUUUAAAUGAUUAUAUUCUCUUGUAAUUGCCAUACUUUUAUAGAAUUAUAACUGUUGUUCUCCAUUGUUGAAAAUACCUGGCAAGUUACAUACAAAAUCUGAUAUAUUUUAUUCUCCUUUUAUUUAUUACAAUUGUUCUUUUAUAUACUUGCUGAGCAUUAUUGCUCACUCUUGCUAUUAUUUUUAACCUUUUCAGCUAGGGAUUUAGAUGAUUCGUUUGUCAAGCUGCGCGUAGGAGUAAUGCUAGGCGAGAUUGCCAGGGAGAUGUCUUCAAGAAUAGUUCUGCUAGGGAUUUAGAUGAUUCGUUUGUCAAGCUGCGCGUAGGAGUAAUGCUAGGCGAGAUUGCCAGGGAGAUGUCUUCAAGAAUAGUUCUGGUUAGAAUUGAUUUAUUCCAGUUUAGUUGUAUAAUAGAUUUAUUUAUUUGGUUAUCAGUUAUUCUUCUUAUCGAGGUUUAGCUGAUAAUGUAGUUUAAGUUGUAAUGAGAUUUUAAAGUUUUAGUUUCUGA